UUUAGGAUGUUCCGGAUCUUAGUUAGUUCCGGACCACUGUCAGUAAACUAAUAAAAUUGUGAAACAUGUGGUAAAUAUUUCUUGAAAUGGUUGUUUGAUUUUGAAAGAAUGGUCUUUUCUGGAGAAAUUGUCGGUUAUUUAUUUACCAAAAGCGAUUUUCAUGACAUGAUUUUUUUUACUGAUGACAAGUGACCUUCACAUUUACUCCAGAAAAAGUACGGGAAAAAAAUGGCGAUUCUGUGAACAGGGCCUCGUGAAUCGAAAUGGGGAAACCAAAACAUCAGAGUCCAGCUGUCAAAAAAGCAAACGCAGUUAAAAAGAAGUACAACAGGGGCUCACCUGGGAAAUCACUCCGGUGCAAGAGAGCAAUUCUGGCCAUAGAAAAAAAGAGGCAAAAACCAAUGAACCAGUUCAAGGCCCUUCAGAAGCAAGUGAUCCUGCUUUUUUAAAAACUAUUGUGUUGGAAAAUAGUGUUGUUAAGGGAUACCACGCAUACCAAAUCAAACCACCAAUUACAGAUCCACCAACUAAACUUAGGGUGGACAGAGAGUACACUAACAUUGUUGAUCGAGAUGCCUGUCUAGUAUGGUUGCCAGAACUUAAGGAGUUCGAUGAAAAACUGCAUGACGUUAUUACAGACCAUCAGAGGCACUUAAAAUUAUCAGAUAUUGCUGGUUUGCCUGUUGGACAUGCACCCAGAGUGUUAGCAGGGUUUUUCAGGACUGUGCUAGACGAAGAUGGCAGUGUGUAUGCUGUUGCUACUGGUGAACCCUGUCAGAGCUUUCCUCCCUGGCCAGCACCUGGGGACAAAGGUGGUGGAGCAGUUAUCCCUUGCUCCUAUUAUAUUACAAGUACACCAAGCAAAUUCGAAUAUAACCGUUCCUUGUUGAGCUCUACUUUGGAAAAAAUGGCAGAAGGUUCAGUUAUGAAAGUGUCAUGUAUGUAGUUAUUUGUACAUGUAGAUAUAUCAGUUUUGAGCACACUCUGUGACAUUGAUCUGAACAUAAUAAUUAUAUAAUGUGUACUUUUCUAGUCCUUUUGUAUGUUGUCUAUUUGAUUAUUCUUUGAUUAACUGUGAUUGCCCUGUUCAACCAAUUAUUUAAGAUCAUGAUCUCAAUCAGUGUUUACAUGCUUUAAAAUCUAGUCAUUUUGUAUGUUGUCUAUUUGAUUAUUCUUUGAUUUACUGUGAUAACCAUGUUAAACCAAUUAUUUAAGAUUAUGAUCUCAAUCAGUGUUUACAUGCUUUAUAAUCUAGUCAUUUUGUAUGUUGUCUAUUUGAUUAUUCUUUGAUUAACUGUGAUUACCCUGUUAAACCAAUUAUUUAAGAUUAUGAUCUCAAUCAGUGUUUACAUGCUUUAUAAUCUUGUUAGCUACUGUGUCAAUUGUUACCAUCUUGUUUAAUAAAUAAUUCUGAAUAAUAAUAGUUUAAUCAUUAUUCUCUUAAAUUGACCCAUGUGUAAAAUGGCCUUUUUGUCUGUUCUUCUGAUAAUUAAUGCCAAUGGCUCUUACAAACAAAGAAUAUUUCUGAAACACAUCACAAUUACUGAUUAGUAACCCAUUGGGAAGGUUUUUGAAAAUGUUUUGAGAAGAUCCCCAAUAUGGUCCGAAACUGCCUAAACUGAACCGGAAAUAACCGAAAAGGUCAUGCUGCUCGAAGGUACAAUCAAGAAUGAAAGCUAACAGCUUUUUGCAAAAACUUAUGUUGGUUAAAGAGAGGAAGAAUUUAUCUUUCUCUUGAAACAAAUAAAAUUCCAACAAUGCUACUUUCAGAUAAGUGACAAAUAUAAUUGUUGUUAGCGAUCCAGAACACCCUAAACGAC